rnacentral:rRNA from 1 species
AGAGCGAACGCUGGCGGCAGGCCUAACACAUGCAAGUCGAGCGCCCAGCAAUGGGAGCGGCAGACGGGAUAGUAACACGUGGGAACGUACCUUUCAGUUCGGAACAACCCAGGGAAACUUGGGCUAAUACCGAAUACGCCCGUAAGGGGAAAGAUUUAUCGCUGAAAGAUCGGCCCGCGUCUGAUUAGCUAGUUGGUGGGGUAAUGGCCCACCAAGGCGACGAUCAGUAGCUGGUCUGAGAGGAUGAUCAGCAUCACUGGGACUGAGACACGGCCCAGACUCCUACGGGAGGCAGCAGUGGGGAAUAUUGGACAAUGGGCGCAAGCCUGAUCCAGCCAUGCCGCGUGGAUGAUGAAGGCCCUAGGGUUGUAAAGUCCUUUCGGCGGGGAAGAUAAUGACGGUACCGCAGAAGAAGCCCCGGCUAACUUCGUGCCAGCAGCCGC